GUCAACAAUCCUUGCAGGAUACCGGCGACUAAACUGGCUUAUCACCUUGCCGCCAUCAUUGGAGUGCAGGGAAAUUACUUUCAAUUAUUGGACUGGCUAUCUGCAAGGACCCGCUUACGACCCAAGCAGAUGUUUUCAAUCCUCCGGACAGAGGCAUCAGGCAAGCGAACCGAAAACCUGUAUGGAAUGCAGCUCCAUCAAGCAUCGACCUGAUCUUCCUUCGGCUAACGAACUGAGGCGCAGAGCGAUGAGCGCGCCAAAUCGAGGACGACGCCUGUAACAACAUGAAAAGGACACCCAGACCCAUAAAUAUAUAGUAUCUUCCAAGACGACGACGAUCCCUUUUGAGGACGACAGAUGUUUUCGCUUGGCAUACCGAAGCAGGUCAAUGCCUGCCAUCUUUAAGGAUUCGAUGCGUUGGUCCUGGCUCACAGCUUCUUAGCAAAUAGGAAAGGUAUCUUGAAGAUACAACGAUGCCGGGCGGCAGCUGGCACACUUGGGCGCGGCCUGUUUAUAAAUCGAUCUACUGCUCCUGGACGAGAACCCCAUGCCAUUCCGAAAGUAUCUCGGAUUACAUACCGCGCACUUAUAGAUACAUAUACACAGUAGGCAGUCGCCGACGCGCUCCCUUAAAAUGUUUAUAAAUUAUUUUUUCCUUUGAUGGGCUUGCCAAAAGAUUUUAUUAUGAAAAGUAAAUCAACUCGGAACGCCUGGAAAUUCGAGAAUAUACCUUUCACUUGCCAGUGGCUAACACAAAUUAAACAAUCCGUUCUGCCAUAAUUUACACUGACAAAUUCCAUUUAUUAACAGACACACAAUUAGCCAAACUCUAUAGAUGGAACCUAACACACACAGAGCCUACCCUAGCCCCUCGAAGACCCACGCCAUGGUAUAAUUUAUGAACACUACAAUCGGAUGGAACUUUUCGGAACUCUCAUACCCGAUAAACUAGUUCGAAUAUCAAAAUCCAAGAGCUGCUAAAGUGUCAUACCUUAGUCGCUGGCAAGUGGUGGGCGUGUUGACAGUGAGAUUGGUCCUUGAGUCGCUCAGAUGGGCGAUGGAGUUGCUCAAUGUGUGGUUGCUGUUGCUAUUGCUGGAUUUGCCAUUGUUGAGCUUGGUCGUGUGACCAGUGGCAGGCUUUACUGUGGCCGGCGGGGCGGGCAUCUUGAGACGACUUCGAUCUGUCCAAAUAUGGUUGCGCUCAUUAACCAACAAAGCUUCAGCAAAGCCGAUUGUUAGUGUUAUUUAAACUCGUCAUUUAUUUUCUGUUUGUUUGUUUGAUUGUUACUUUGUUAGACUUGCUGCCCACACGGGAUCUUGGGGAUCUUGGGAUCACGGUAUCUCGGCACACGAGCGACUUGCCCAAUUUGGAGUCUCGCAAUAUCGCAUACCCGCGCCUCGUAUCUUAUUUAUGUGCAUUAACUAAAUGUCGCUAAUUUUUGGUUUAUUUAUUUGCAGCGCUAGACUGUGCCUUUUUUGGCCAAGGAAUGGCUGUCCAGCGCUCCAACAUAAAUCAGCCAAACAAUUCGAUGCCCGAGCGCACGACCCGAACUCUAAUUAACUCGUUGGCGAAGUUGUUGCGUUGCCAAAAAAAGCAGAGUGUCUGCCACCACUUGGGGGAUGCCUUUUAAGGUGUCACACCGCGAUCGUUUUCAAUUAUGACGCAACACACGCGAAAAUCUCAAGAUCACCAUGCUUUUCAGCCGCCGACAGGUGCUUACUUCGACUUCAACUGAUUUCGACUUCAAGUUGGACUUCUUGCUGCGCCGAUUACUGAAACAAAACUGAUUUAUGCCUGUCACAAGGCGAACGGUGCAGCCAAUUGCAGUCGGAGUUGCUGCCAAGUCGGUUCCAGUCCCGAUCCCCUCCUGCUUGCUCCUCUGUGCCCCACCCCGCCACCGACUCCUCCUGCACGACGAGAUUCCCUCGUCGGAGUGGACGACAAUUAGUUCUACAUGUCGUCACACGUCGCAAGCUGCAGGAAGCCACAAGUACACUGGGAGAAAACAGCACAAAAUUUAGCU
rnacentral:lncRNA from 1 species